AGGUACAUUCAGUGUCUUAUUGGGAGUCCUGAAGUUUUUCUUAAGUUGGCAAGCUACCAAUCAUUUCCUGCUGUGGGGAAGCUGACAGUGGAAAGAAGAGCCUGUUGGAGUGCUGGCCUGGAUUUGGGAGGAGCCAAGUAUCCUGGAGCUGUGAGGUUUUUCCUGUCAUAAAUCCAUGGGGGGGAUGUUGUUUUCCCUGGCUGUCCCAAGUGGAAGGAACAGCUUUGGAGUCAUUGCAGCCACAGGCUGGGGAUGCAUCCCCUGAAAACCAGUUCAGGAUUGUUCAUCUGCCUCUGACCUGUGAUUUCCAGGGACCCUCCUGGUAUCCUGGAUUUUCCCAGGAGAGGAUAUUCCACCGCCUGCCUUUGAGCCAGGAAUUCCAGACCCAGACAGUCAGUGACAUUCCAUGUGAGCUGUCCCAACAGCUGGGUGGGAGAGGGAGCAAACACCCCACCCUUCUGUUUGAGACAUUCCCAGCUGGAAUUGGGGCUGAGCAGUCAUUGCAGAGCUCUGAGGCCACAAGCUGAGCCUUGAAUGGCAUCCCCAGGGAAUGCUGUGGCAUCCCAUGCCUGUGGCACCCGGCCACACAUCCCUCAUGUGGAGCAAAAAGAGGACGGGGGAAGUCCUGAGUUGGGGGAGGAUGUUUCUGGAAUGGAAUUCUCAGAGGUGCUGGUCAUACCAUGGAAUUACGGGCUGCUUUGUCUUGGGAGAGACACAAAGACCCUCUGGACUCUGUUGUCCAAUUCCAUGGCAAAGAACACAUCCCAAAGUGCCUCCUCACCCCCAUGGACAGCAGGAAUGUCUUCCAUAACUCUUGUUUACAAAUAGGAAUGGCUGUGUGGAGCUCUCUCAGGAGUGCCUGGAGACCAGGAUGAGGAAGCCAGCCCUGGCGAGGAGGAGGAUGAGGAGGUGUGGGAGGAUGGAGACAGCGGCCCCCAAAGGCUGGGGAAGGCCCAGGUCCAGGUAGGAGAUGCUGCCUUCCAAGGAGAGGGACUUGUCUGUCCUGUUGGAAUUUGGAGUGUGAGGCCAGUGGAACAAAGAAUUUGAUUACAUUUUCCUACUCAGAUUCUCAUUUGUCUUAGGAGGUGUUUGUGAAAAGGUCAUUAUCCCUUGUGGAAUUUCUGAAAAACAGGGAUUGAAACUUUCUGAAGUGACCCAAACCUGUCUGCAUGUAUCCAAAUGCAGCCCCCAAUCCCUGUUUUUGUGUACAGUUGGAAAGAGACCUCAGCUGCUGGUACUUGCCAGCUCACAAGUUGUGUAGCUCAGAGUCUGCAGCCCUGAAGGGCCAGGCUGUGUUUAAACAGAGAGCAGAGAGCUGGACUCAUUUCCUAGCAGGGUAACUUGACUUGGAAGCUGCAUUCCAAACUUCUGUCCACAUUUAUCUCCCACAUGGAGUUGCCUAAGGAAGGUGGGGUGUUCCUAACAAAAGACCAUCCCAAUUCAUCAGUGGUAGAGGGCUUAAAAUUGGAGUGUGAGGGGAGGUGCCUUUAGGACACUUCAAAUUCCUUAGUAUAUGAAUGGAAUUUAAAUGAAAUAUCCAAAUCCUGACCAGCUUGUGUGAACUCCAAAGCCUCUGCAAGUGUUUUACAGCCAGGGAGGGAGACAAGGGUCUGGAGUCUCUCCCCAAAAACUGGCUGCUGUUUGUUUGACCAGGCAUAGGAAUGAUUGUGUAUUCCCUGGGGCUGUCCCUAUGGAGAAAGGUUUAUUUAUAUGCCCUGGGUUUAUUCAGUGUAUCUUCAAAUUGAUGGAAACUGAUUUCAUGGAAAUGCCAGAGGUGCCCAAAGCUUUCCCCAGCCAGAGCUCGGAGCCAGCCCUGUGGGAAGGGGUUUAAUGCCCAUUUUCCCCAUCCCUCCAGGCAGCAGCCCUGGAGCACUUGAGCCAAACAUGGCCAAGGUACCCAGUGCUGGCAGGAGGCAAAUCCAGGGACUGGACAGUGGGAGUUUGCACUGCUCCUGGAAUCCCAGACCUGGAGCUGUGCUUCAGAGAGCCCAGGAGACGCUGCCUCACUCAAACCUCAUUUAAAGCUCAGCAUCCUCCUUGCUCCCUUGGAAUUAUUGCUGCUCCCUUUGCUGCUCUUUCCCAAUAAUAUUAUUAUGGUCAAUUCCCACUCCAUCUCUUCCAUAGCCCUCUGCUUCCCAGAGGUGCUUUAGGAAAGCCCCUCCAGCCUGGGAAGGUGCUUUUGGCUCCAGACACGUUCCCAGUGCCCAGGAGCAGCAGGACCUGUGCUGUUCCCAGCAGGUGAGGCAGAGGUGCCUUUCCUUCUUUCCCUGCUGCACUUUGGCUUUUUGAGGGGUCUCUGGGAGUCUGAGGGAGAAGUUCUUUGUC